rnacentral:rRNA from 1 species
CAGUAGCCGCGGUAAUACGUAGGGUGCAAGCGUUAAUCGGAAUUACUGGGCGUAAAGCGUGCGCAGGCGGUUAUAUAAGACACAUGUGAAAUCCCCGGGCUCAACCUGGGAACUGCAUUUGUGACUGUAUAGCUAGAGUACGGCAGAGGGGGAUGGAAUUCCGCGUGUAGCAGUGAAAUGCGUAGAUAUGCGGAGGAACACCGAUGGCGAAGGCAAUCCCCUGGGCCUGUACUGACGCUCAUGCACGAAAGCGUGGGGAGCAAACAGGAUUAGAGACCCCAGUAGUCCCUGUCUCUUAUAA